AUGAACGCUAGCGACAGGCUUAACACAUGCAAGUCGAGGGGCAGCACAGGUAGCAAUACCGGGUGGCGACCGGCGCACGGGUGAGUAACGCGUAUGCAACUUGCCUAUCAGAGGGGGAUAACCCGGCGAAAGUCGGACUAAUACCGCAUGAAGCAGGGGCCCCGCAUGGGGAUAUUUGCUAAAGAUUCAUCGCUGAUAGAUAGGCAUGCGUUCCAUUAGGCAGUUGGCGGGGUAACGGCCCACCAAACCGACGAUGGAUAGGGGUUCUGAGAGGAAGGUCCCCCACAUUGGUACUGAGACACGGACCAAACUCCUACGGGAGGCAGCAGUGAGGAAUAUUGGUCAAUGGCCGAGAGGCUGAACCAGCCAAGUCGCGUGAGGGAUGAAGGUUCUAUGGAUCGUAAACCUCUUUUAUAAGGGAAUAAAGUGCGGGACGUGUCCCGUUUUGUAUGUACCUUAUGAAUAAGGAUCGGCUAACUCCGUGCCAGCAGCCGCGGUAAUACGGAGGAUCCGAGCGUUAUCCGGAUUUAUUGGGUUUAAAGGGUGCGUAGGCGGCCUUUUAAGUCAGCGGUGAAAGUCUGUGGCUCAACCAUAGAAUUGCCGUUGAAACUGGGGGGCUUGAGUAUGUUUGAGGCAGGCGGAAUGCGUGGUGUAGCGGUGAAAUGCAUAGAUAUCACGCAGAACCCCGAUUGCGAAGGCAGCCUGCCAAGCCAUUACUGACGCUGAUGCACGAAAGCGUGGGGAUCAAACAGGAUUAGAUACCCUGGUAGUCCACGCAGUAAACGAUGAUCACUAGCUGUUUGCGAUACACUGUAAGCGGCACAGCGAAAGCGUUAAGUGAUCCACCUGGGGAGUACGCCGGCAACGGUGAAACUCAAAGGAAUUGACGGGGGCCCGCACAAGCGGAGGAACAUGUGGUUUAAUUCGAUGAUACGCGAGGAACCUUACCCGGGUUUGAACGCAUUCGGACCGAGGUGGAAACACCUUUUCUAGCAAUAGCCGUUUGCGAGGUGCUGCAUGGUUGUCGUCAGCUCGUGCCGUGAGGUGUCGGCUUAAGUGCCAUAACGAGCGCAACCCUUGCCACUAGUUACUAACAGGUAAAGCUGAGGACUCUGGUGGGACUGCCAGCGUAAGCUGCGAGGAAGGCGGGGAUGACGUCAAAUCAGCACGGCCCUUACAUCCGGGGCGACACACGUGUUACAAUGGCGUGGACAAAGGGAAGCCACCUGGCGACAGGGAGCGAAUCCCCAAACCACGUCUCAGUUCGGAUCGGGGUCUGCAACCCGACUCCGUGAAGCUGGAUUCGCUAGUAAUCGCGCAUCAGCCAUGGCGCGGUGAAUACGUUCCCGGGCCUUGUACACACCGCCCGUCAAGCCAUGGGAGCCGGGGGUACCUGAAGUCCGUAACCGCGAGGAUCGGCCUAGGGUAAAACUGGUGACUGGGGCU
rnacentral:rRNA from 1 species